UCUCUCUCUCUCUCUCUCUCUCUCUCUAGGGUUGCCCACAUCUCCUCUUCUUCUCCAUCGAUCUCUCUUCCAUUCGAUCCGAGCUCCAUCUCCAUCUCAGCGCCCACUACAAUCGAUUUUGCACUCUGCUACAACUUGUGGAUGAUUAGCUUUCUGCUUUAAUUGUUGAAGUGGAGGAAGGCUUGAACAUCAGUGAUGUGCAACUGCUCAGAAGCUGAUGGCCGUCCUCUCUCCAUCUUCAGCAUAUGGUGCAAAAAAUCAUUCCAUGUAUCUACAGGUCCAGG